rnacentral:sRNA from 1 species
GCCAGGCAUGGUGGCGCUUGCCUAUAAUCCCAGUGGCUCAGGAGGCUGAGACAGGUGGAUUCUGAGUUCAAAGCCAGCCUCAGCAAAAGUGGGGAUGUAAGCAAAUCAGUGAGACCCUGUCUCUA